ACAACAACAGAAAUAGCAAUAAAAAGUUAAUGAAUGUUACAAUAUUGAAACUGAAUAAACAUAUUGUAGCAGUAUAUUUCUCUAUAACAAAACACGGUUUUAAAAAUAGUUGAACCUGAGAAGCCAUGGCAACCUAUUUACCCUGUUUCUCCUUACGAGCACCCAGCAGCCGACAAUAUGUCCGACUGUCUGGUAGAAACACAGUGCCGCAAAAGAAAGCCUUUAGUGACUCUCUUUUUCCUACACUUUCUUGCGUCACUAGGUAUAUCAUUCUAGAUGUAUAUGUACGUUUCUUACGUAACAGCUACCGGUUUCUAGCGAGUUUACGCGUCUCAAUUAAAACACAAUUUUAAAAAUCUGUAAUAUUUCAUGCAAAAAAUAGUUCACAAUGCAAAUUGUGGUAAAAUUAUAAUACUGACUUAUUUAUGAAAAAGAAGGCUGCAGGAACAAGUCGUCGUUGGGAAGCAGGCCGCUUUGUAAUCGAGAAUACACCGAAUUUUUGAAUGUCAAAGUGAACAUGAUUCUACUGUUGUUUAAGUUUGUGGACACCACAACGAAAGCAGCGGGGUUUGGGCAAUACGAACAACUUAAGAGCUGCAGAUGGGUUAUCUUCAGCAGUUGUGGCCUACAGCAUGGAUUUCGUCUGACGCUCACCGGCAACAAAUUAUUCAAUUAUGGUAUUUGCCCUGGACGUUUCCAAAACACAAACUGUUUAGGAUUAAUUCAAUUAAAACGAUGGCCCAAACCGAGACCCGGUAACCUUUUAAUGAGAGCGAGCGAUAGAUAUUAUCGUUUGCGCAUUCUUGUACACCCUAUCAGGCGAGUGAGUAAUAGUUUAUGACGAAACGGAAUCCAUGCGUUGCCGUUGUUUUUCUUGCCCGAGUCCCACGCCAGUAGAAAUAUUACCUCGACAUAUUUUGCGUAAAAUUCGGCGCCCCUUGUCCCACGAGGCAGAUAACGAAUUUAAACGUUCAAGGAGUAAAUCAUUUCAUCCUAAAUGGAUUAUUAUGAAGUCAUUAUCAACAACACGUAUGUCUAGAUGAACUUUAACGCGUUAUACAGGGAACGUAAAUGAACAGAUAGUAGCGAAUCGAGGUAUUACCAGCAGAAGCACAUCACCACUAUGCAUGUUCGGGCAAGAUUCGUUGACAACCUUUACAAAGCAUACAUUCACUAUUUUUUAAAGU